AGCAGUGGGGAAUAUUGGACAAUGGGGGGAAACCUGAUCCAGCCAUGCCGGGUGUGGGAAGAAGGCCUUAUGGUUGUAAAACACUUUAAGUGAGGAGGAGGCUACUUUAGUUAAUACCUAGGGAUAGUGACGUACUCGCAGAA
rnacentral:rRNA from 1 species